rnacentral:rRNA from 1 species
GACGAACGCUGGCGGCGUGCUUAACACAUGCAAGUCGAACGGAAAGGCCCUGCUUUUGUGGGGUGCUCGAGUGGCGAACGGGUGAGUAACACGUGAGUAACCUGCCCUUGACUUUGGGAUAACUUCAGGAAGCUGGGGCUAAUACCGGAUAGGAGCUCCUGCUGCAUGGUGGGGGUUGGAAAGUUUCGGCGGUUGGGGAUGGACUCGCGGCUUAUCAGCUUGUUGGUGGGGUAGUGGCUUACCAAGGCUUUGACGGGCAGCCGGCCUGAGAGGGUGACCGGCCACAUUGGGACUGAGAUACGGCCCAGACUCCUACGGGAGGCAGCAGUGGGGAAUAUUGCACAAUGGGCGGAAGCCUGAUGCAGCAACGCCGCGUGCGGGAUGACGGCCUUCGGGUUGUAAACCGCUUUCGCCUGUGACGAAGCGUGAGUGACGGUAAUGGGUAAAGAAGCACCGGCUAACUACGUG